rnacentral:rRNA from 1 species
GUAGGUGGCAAGCGUUGUCCGGAAUUAUUGGGCGUUAAAGCGCGCGCAGGCGGGGUCCUUUAAGUCUGAUGUGAAAGCCCACGGGCUCAACCGUGGAGGGUCAUUGGAAACUGGGGGACUUGAGUACAGAAGAGGAAAGCGGAAUUCCAAGUGUAGCGGUGAAAUGCGUAGAGAUUUGGAGGAACACCAGUGGCGAAGGCGGCGUUUCUGGUCUGUAACUGACGCUGAGGCGCGAAAGCGUGGGGAGCAAACAGGAUUAGAUACCCUGGUAGUCCACGCCGUAAACGAUGAGUGCUAAGUGUUAGGGGGUUUCCGCCCCUUAGUGCUGCAGCUAACGCAUUAAGCACUCCGCCUGGGGAGUACGGCCGCAAAGGCUG